rnacentral:misc_RNA from 1 species
AAGUCGUAACAAGGUUUCCGUAGGUGAACCUGCGGAAGGAUCAUUAAUGAUUGACCCUCUGGGUCUUAUCUUAACAUCCCUCACCUCUGUGAACCGUUUGACCUCCGGGUCUUACAAAAAACCAUAACAAACAUCAGUGUAAAGAACGUCUUGUUAUCUUAACAAAAACAAAACUUUCAACAACGGAUCUCUUGGCUCUC